rnacentral:rRNA from 1 species
AGAGUUUGAUCCUGGCUCAGGAUGAACGCUGGCGGCGUGCUUAACACAUGCAAGUCGAACGAUCCUUCGGGAUAGUGGCGGACGGGUGAGUAACGCGUGGGAAUCUGCCCUUAGGAGGGGGAUAACGGCUGGAAACGGCCGCUAAUACCCCAUAUGCCGAGAGGUGAAACGAAUUUCGCCUGAGGAUGAGCCCGCGUCUGAUUAGCUAGUUGGUGGGGUAAAGGCCUACCAAGACGACGAUCAGUAGCUGGUCUGAGAGGAUGAUCAGCCACACUGGGACUGAGACACGGCCCAGACUCCUACGGGAGGCAGCAGUGGGGAAUUUUCCGCAAUGGGCGAAAGCCUGACGGAGCAACGCCGCGUGAGGGAUGAAGGCCUCUGGGCUGUAAACCUCUUUUCUCAAGGAAGAAGAACUGACGGUACUUGAGGAAUAAGCCACGGCUAAUUCCGUGCCAGCAGCCGCGGUAAUACGGGAGUGGCAAGCGUUAUCCGGAAUUAUUGGGCGUAAAGCGUCCGCAGGCGGCCUUGUAAGUCUGUUGUUAAAGCGUGGAGCUCAACUCCAUUUAAGCAAUGGAAACUACAAGGCUGGAGUGUGGUAGGGGCAGAGGGAAUUCCCGGUGUAGCGGUGAAAUGCGUAGAUAUCGGGAAGAACACCAGUGGCGAAGGCGCUCUGCUGGGCCAUAACUGACGCUCAUGGACGAAAGCCAGGGGAGCGAAAGGGAUUAGAUACCCCUGUAGUCCUGGCCGUAAACGAUGAACACUAGGUGUCGGGGGAAUCGACCCCCUCGGUGUCGUAGCCAACGCGUUAAGUGUUCCGCCUGGGGAGUACGCACGCAAGUGUGAAACUCAAAGGAAUUGACGGGGGCCCGCACAAGCGGUGGAGUAUGUGGUUUAAUUCGAUGCAACGCGAAGAACCUACCAGGGUUUGACAUCCUGCGAAUCCCUUGGAAACGAGGGAGUGCCUUCGGGAGCGCAGUGACAGGUGGUGCAUGGCUGUCGUCAGCUCGUGUCGUGAGAUGUUGGGUUAAGUCCCGGAACGAGCGCAACCCACGUCUUUAGUUGCCAGCAUUCAGUUGGGCACUCUAGAGAGACCGUCGGUGAUAAACCGGAGGAAGGUGUGGAUGACGUCAAGUCAUCAUGCCCCUUACAUCCUGGGCUACACACGUACUACAAUGCUACGGACAAAGGGCAGCAAGCUCGCGAGAGUUAGCAAAUCCCAUAAACCGUGGCUCAGUUCAGAUCGUAGGCUGCAACUCGCCUAUGUGAAGGAGGAAUCGCUAGUAAUCGCAGGUCAGCAUACUGCGGUGAAUACGUUCCCGGGCCUUGUACACACCGCCCGUCACACCAC